rnacentral:rRNA from 1 species
AGAGUUUGAUCCUGGCUCAGAUUGAACGCUGGCGGCACGCCUAACACAUGCAAGUCGAGCGGUAGCAUGCUUAGUAGCAAUACUAAGUGAUGACAAGCGGCGGACGGGUGAGGAAAACGUGGGAAUCUACCCUCAAGCGGGGGACAACCAAGGGAAACUUUGGCUAAUACCGCAUAAUCUCGAGAGAGCAAAGCUGCCGCAAGGUGGCACUUGAGGAGGAGCCUGCGUCCGAUUAGCUAGUUGGUGGGGUAAGAGCCUACCAAGGCGAUGAUCGGUAACUGGUCUGAGAGGACGACCAGUCACACUGGGACUGAGACACGGCCCAGACUCCUACGGGAGGCAGCAGUGGGGAAUAUUGGACAAUGGGGGCAACCCUGAUCCAGCGAUGCCGCGUGAGUGAAGAAGGCCUUCGGGUC